rnacentral:rRNA from 1 species
GAUGGAGGGGGAUAACCACUGGAAACGGUGGCUAAUACCGCAUAACCUCUUUGGAGCAAAGUGGGGGACCUUCGGGCCUCACGCCAUCGGAUGAACCCAGAUGGGAUUAGCUAGUAGGUGGGGUAAUGGCUCACCUAGGCGACGAUCCCUAGCUGGUCUGAGAGGAUGACCAGCCACACUGGGACUGAGACACGGCCCAGACUCCUACGGGAGGCAGCAGUGGGGAAUAUUGCACAAUGGGCGCAAGCCUGAUGCAGCCAUGCCGCGUGUAUGAAGAAGGCCUUCGGGUUGUAAAGUACUUUCAGCGGGGAAGGAAGGCAACAGCGUGAAUAGCGCUGUUGAUUGACGUUACCC